ACGUCGGGGCCGGAGCCUGGACAUGGCGGACACCCGAAGUGUGCACGAAACCCGGUUCGAGGCGGCCGUGAAGGUGAUUCAAAGUUUGCCGAAAAACGGUUCAUUUCAGCCAACAAAUGAAAUGAUGCUAAAGUUUUACAGUUUUUAUAAACAAGCCACAGAAGGACCCUGCAACAUCUCAAGACCAGGAUUCUGGGAUCCUAUUGGGAGAUAUAAAUGGGAUGCUUGGAGUUCACUGGGAAAUAUGACCAAAGAAGAAGCUAUGAUUGCAUAUGUUGAAGAAAUGAAAAAGAUUCUUGAGACCAUGCCAAUGACGGAGAAAGUUGAAGAAUUACUCCAUGUAAUAGGUCCAUUCUAUGAAAUUGUAGAGGACAAAAAGAGCAGCAGAAGUUCUGAUUUAACCUCAGUCCGAUUGGAGAAAGUCACUAAAUAUUUAGAAGAUCUUGGCAAUGUCCUGUCUUCUACUCCAAAGGUUAAAACUGUAAAUGGGAAAGCUGAAAGCAGUGAUAGUGGAGCUGAAUCUGAAGAAGAAGAGAACCAAGAAGAAGUAAAAGAAGCCAAGCAAACUAAGGAAGCGAUACCAGAGUUCACUGACAAUAAAGAAUUGGAAAUUGUUUUCACUAAUGGUUAUGACCAAGACAACAUUCUCCAAGAUAUACCAAAUGAUAUUCAUGCCAGUUCUUCCCUAUUAAAUGGCUCAAGCACUGAAGAAGUAAAAAAUGGGGACCAAAACUUAAAACAAACUGGACAAACUACUGUCAGCAUUCAUCAAGGCAUAUGUGAUGAUCAUGUUGAAGAUAUUUCAGGAAUUCAGCAUUUGACGAGUGAUUCAGACAGUGAAGUUUACUGUGACUCUAUGGAGCAAUUUGGACAAGAAGAGUCUUUAGAAAUCUUUUCAUCAAAUAAAGGACCAUUUAGAUAUUCAUCUCAUUAUUUGGGAGAUCACAAUCAACUUUUGGAAAAUUCUGGUCUUUCUGAAGAAGUUUGCAUUGCCUCGGGAAAUCUUCCGGUUGGAGAUAUUGCUAUAGAAGGAAAAGGAGAAGUAAAGCAUGGUGGGGAAGAUGGCAGACCCAGCAGUGGAGCACCCCAACGAGAGAAACGUGGUGGGGAAAAGGAGGAAUUCUCUGGUGUGAGAAGGGGGAGAGGCCACCGGAUGCAGCCUUUAGGUGAUGGGAUUCAUAGUGGCCACAUGGGCAGUGGAGGUGAUGGAGAACGAUGGGGUUCUGACAGAGGAUCUGGAGGCAGCCUUAACGAGCAGAUUGCAGUGGCCCUCAUGCGAAUGCAAGAAGACAUGAAGAACAUCCUUCAGAGACUGCACACGCUGGAGACACUGGCUGCCUCACAGGCAAAGUCAACAGCAUUACCGGCUGAUAAUCGGUCUCCUUCAAUGAGACCAUCGUGGUGGCCAUUUGAGAUGUCUCCUAGUGCAUUAACCUUUGCUAUUGUAUGGCCUUUUAUUGCUCAGUGGCUGGUACACUUAUAUUAUCAAAGAAGAAGAAGGGAAAAUUCAAGAAGCCAGAAGCAGAAUGUGGGGAAUCUCUUCAUUUGCUUCAAGGGAAAAGAUUUGUGAUCUUGGCUGGGUGAAUGACCUGAGGCUAGCUUGCUUUUACGCAAAGAUUAAAAAGGAAAAACAACAGAUAAACAAAAUAUACAACCAGUAUAUCAGCCAGAUCUGACAGUAUGCAAAAUGCCACAACCCAUAGUCUUUCACCUCAGCAAUAAAAAGGAAACUGCACUGAGUGGAGGAGCUGCCCUUUAUCCAAGACUGCUGGGCCUGGAAGACAUAUGAAUAAAAAGGAAUAUGAUGUAUCCCCAGGAAUUGCAGGCUCGACAAUAAUUAGAUUUCGCUUUUGUUGCUUCAGCAGCUCAGUGGGGCGGGGUGGUAUUAGGAUUUUGUUCUUUUAGCACUACAAAAAUAUCUUCUAGACUAAAUAUUACUGAUACUUGAAUGAGCAUUCUCAACUAGAUGACAAAUAGCAUACAUAGAAUUAUUCCCCCCCCCCUUGAACUUGGAGGACAUUAAAUUAUUAAUUAUUGUUUGGUAACAUAUUUACCCGAUUAUCUCCAAUGUAGAAACAUGAACUGUUUUUUUUCAGCACACAAUAAUGAUGAGAACAGAUUUUUGAGGGAAUUUUGAUUUUUUUGGUCAUAAACUAGUGGAAGGGGUGGGCACGGAAAGGGAAGCCAUGUGGGGGGAAAAAGGUGUAACUCAGGGGCAAAAAACCUAGAUGUCAAAUGAAAUUAAAGAUUUCAUAUCAUAAUCUCUGAAUUAUCAUGGCAAAGGAAGACAAAUUGCCAAAGGAAGCUAUUUCAGAAUUCUGUGAACUGCACAGUGCUUCAUUAUCCUGACAUUUUGGUGGCGUUUGAAAUCAUCUUGUUUUGGCAUCUUCCUUCACUGUACAUAAGUGGGUUCCAGUGCUCCCUGUCUGGUCAGAGUGGAAAUGAUUUCCCUAUACUCUGCUCAUUUAGUUUCUAGGAAGAGUUUGAGGGAGGUACAUGUCCUGCAUGAUAGAAAUGAAGGGGUCUUGAUGUUUCAGAGAAUAGACUGAUGCUGCAAUGUACAAAUAAUAGUUUGAAUCAACCACCUCUAUCUAUUUCUUGGUAAUUAUUUUCUUUAGGGGAAGAACUAUAGUUUCUGCACGGAGUGCUUUGAAAUAUAAAAUGAAAACUUAUUUAUACUGUUUUUUUUUUUUAAUGCAGUACAGAAAGCUCAUGAUUUAACAGUUAGUUGCUCAAAUAAUAUUCAGCAAUUCAUGUUGCCAUGAAUAAAUCACUUAACCUCUUAGUGCCUCAGUUUAUCCACCUGGGGAUAAUAUUUGCAAUAUACCUAAACACAGGGAUGUUGUGAAGAUAAUAAUGUAAGCUAUUGCACAUCUGGCUGCCAUUUGAUUAAACUAUACCUCAAGUGACAGAAACUUUUCUAAGACAUUGUAACAUUUGGAUUUUGAGGAGAGAAGGAUUUGAAUUGGUGCCCUGGAAAGCCCUCUUUGGAAAUGAUUACUUCUAUGUACAAAAUGAUCCUUGUGAUAGGAUAAUUCCGUGGCUCAUUCUUUACUAGUAUGUGCUUUAUGAUUCAUUGCUAAAAAUCAGUGUCGCAUAUUUGUUUCCUGAAAAAUGAUAUCCAGCACAGCAGAGCACUAUACUGAGUACAGUAUAUUUUUAAUCAGAAAAACUCAUCUAUAAUUAAUUCACAAGGAUGGCCUUUUUCUAGAGGAAAAAUGUGUAUAUUUUUAAAUUGGCAUUCCUCAAGUCCUUUCUUUUCAUUACAUAUCCCUUGCUAGUUUUUCUUUUAUCUCCAUCUGUGUGAAAGGGAGCAGUUGCUAACAACAUCUGCUUAAGGAGCAAACAAGCACCUUUUUGAGAAAAAAAAGUCAGUGAAUUGCAUAUAAAAAAAUAAAAAGAUCAAAUCUGUAUAGAAGAAGUAGCUAUAAAAUUUUAUUUUCAAAAACAGUAAUAAAAUUAGGGGCUUCUCUUAGUAAUGGUGAGGGAUACAAAUGAUCUUUUUGACUAGUUUAAUCAGACUUGUUGAAUGUAAGCAGCUGUGAUCAACUGCAGGUGGUUCAGGGGUUGUCAUCUCUUGGGGUUAAAAUACUUUCUAUCCUGUCCUAAAAUCUUAUUUUGUAGUUUGAAAAGCACUUUGCACACAGCUCUUGUAUAUAAAACACAAAGAUGUGAUUUUAGGAUUUAAUGUUAACGCUUUGUUAAACAAAACCUGAUUUUAAACCAAUAAUGGUAUUUUUUUUAAUGAAAUAUUUCUUCUGUUGUUUCUUUACUGUAAAGCCGAGUACAAAAUAAAAACAGUAAUAAGAAA